rnacentral:misc_RNA from 2 species
CAACCCUCGAACCCCUCCGGGGGGUCGGCGUUGGGGAUCGGCCCUUUCACCGGGUGCCGGCCCCUAAAUACAGUGGCGGUCUCGCCGCAGCCUCUCAUGCGCAGUAGUUUGCACACUCGCACCGGGAGCGCGGCGCGUCCACGUCCGUAAAACACCCCAACUUCUGAAA